CUCCCACAAAAUCCAAAUCAAAAGAGAAUGAGGUUAGCAAUGCCUCCGCACAACAAAAAAAGGAGGUUAGCAACGCCUCCGCACGGGUAAAAAGUUCUGGUGCUAAGAAGACCGUAGCUAGGAAAAAACCUACCACCAAGUAUAGGUCGUGCCUCAGGACAUUUCUAGAGAUGACCGAUAUACCGACCGGAGGUGUUCGGAUUGUACAUAUGGAGGUUUUUGUAUGACAAAUUGAUGCGCCCCAAUGAUUUGGACGAGUCAUUCGGAUUCUUAGCACCCGCGACCGUCAACUUAGGUUUAAUCUUAAGUAGACCGCAUACCGUGACGGAGUAUGUUCUUCGGAUCCUCAUGGACAAUAAAGAUGCGGAGAAGUUGUUUUUUAUACCGUUUAAUACCGGUGGACAUUGGUUGUUGCUCGCAAUCAAUCCUAUCCGAGAAAUUGUGUAUUAUCUUGACUCGUUAGGAAAUGAUUGGACAACAUACCCGGAUAUGAAGGUCCUAAUUGACACCGUCCUACAAGCUUUUCGGGCCCAACGAGAUAUCCA